ACCAGCCGGUUUCUCCCGAUGGAAGGCGCCCAAAGACACCGAAAGCCUCGCGAGCCCUUCCUCUCCGCCGCAGCCCGCCGCCUCCCAGCCUCCGCUCCCCUCCAACAACGGGUGAUGAAUUCAAAGAGAUCCAUAACCCAAAAAAAAACAUGCACAUAUGAGGCAGAAUUUUAGGUAUUAAUGUUGAUUUUUUGAUGAACCCCCUGAUCUCGGUGGUAGUUCUUGGAAUUUUGAGGCUGAGAGUCUGAUCCCAGUAGAGCCUCGUUGACCGUUAGGCUCUAGGACAUGUGAUGGUUGCCUAUUUGUCUGUAGGGCUCUUGGACAUGGGAUUGGAUGAAUUGGUCUGUUCCUCUUGGCUCUUCCCAAGAAGACAGAACCUUCAAGAUCUUUUCUAUGGAAGAAGCCCUACUGUUGUUCUUUGGAGCUGUAGGCUGGUGAGUGUAUUCAGAGGUUUCACUCAGCAAAAGCUUCGGAGAAGAGCAUCAAAUGAGUCAAAAAAAUAUCUAAACAUGAGUAUGUUUUGUCCCAUCUGUAGACCAUGAAGAAAUGAUUAAAGCAAGCAGAAGUAGAGCAAGGCAGAGAAUGUUAUCCUUUUUGUGCAUUUUAUUCUGCAGUGAAUUUUUCAGACAGCAUCAAGAUUUUAAUCUAGCUACUGUAAACAAGCCGAAGAGGUUGCUGUAGCCUUGAAGCUGCUAUAUGAUUUGAUCCAGGAGCAAAGGAAUUUGCUGGUUUCAACUUUUGGGGAGAGCAAAUAGAGGCAAAAUCGGCUCUGUAGUUAAACUAAGCUUAGUUUUAAUCAGUGUGUAUGUUAAUUGUCUGCUUGAGGCUUAUGUAUAAAUAACUUAAAUAUUAUAAGUUUUGAGUUGUAAAUUCGGAAGAAGAACCUUAUUUGUAACUUUUGGUGGUUUGUAUGAAUAUAUAUGAUAUUUUGUUUGAUAGUCUAGUUGUUUA